AGAGUUUGAUCCUGGCUCAGGAUGAACGCUGGCGGUGUGCCUUAGGCAUGCAAGUCGAACGAGAACCUACUCUUCGGAGUAGGGGAUAGUGGCAGACGGGUGAGUAACGCGUAGGAAUCUACCUUUUAGUGGGGAAUAGCCUCGGGAAACCGGGAUUAAUACCGCAUGUGGUCGCAAGAUCAAAGCCUUCGGGCGCUAAAAGAGGAGCCUACGUCCUAUCAGGUAGUUGGUGAGGUAAAAGCUCACCAAGCCAACAACGGGUAGCCGAUGUGAGAGCAUGAUCGGCCACAAGGUCACUGAGACACGGGACCUACACCUACGGGUGGCAGCAACCAGGAAUAUUGCGCAAUGGGCGAAAGCCUGACGCAGCGACACCGCGUGUGGGAUGAAGCUCCUCGGAGUGUAAACCACUGUGGCAAGGGAAAAAUCAAUGAUGGUACCUUGCUAGAAAGCACCUGCUAACUACGUGCCAGAAGCCUCGGUAAUACGUAGGGUGCAAGCGUUAUCCGGAUUUAUUGGGCGUAAAGGGUUCCGUCGGCGGUUUGCUAAGUUUCAUCUUAAAUACUGGGGCUUAACUCCAGAUACAGGGUGAAAUACUAGCAGACUUGAGUUUGUUCGGGGUAACUGGAACUCUCGGUGUAGGGGUGAAAUCCGUAGAUAUCGAGAGGAACGCCAAUCGCGAAGGCAGGUUACUAGGACAAUACUGACGCUCAUGGACGAAAGCUUGGGUAGCAAAAGGGAUUAACAAUACUAGUCCCCCUUGGCAGUAAUGCCAAGUGUCAAAUCUGGCUAUAUCGGUGAAACUCCUUGUUAUAGAAUGGUUGUUAAUGACAGCCAUUACUCAUAAAAAGGACAAUACCGAGGGAAGUUUAGAUUGCUCAAUUAAAGUACUUAAAAAACGGUUUAAACUUAGUAAUGAACAACGCUCAGCAUUGAUCGACACAUUACUUGGAGAUGGUUCACUGAACAAACAUGGGCGAUGUCAUCGCCUCCAUGUUAAACAUUCACUGAAACAAAUCUCUCUAGUGCGAUAUAGACGCAAAAUGUUUGCGAAUAUCUCAUCAAUGCCCGUUAGAUCUUUUACUCAAAAAGUAAAAAAUAAAAUCUACGAGUUUUGUGUACUUGUCACUCUUUCUCA
rnacentral:rRNA from 1 species